AAAACUUUCAACAACGGAUCUCUUGGUUCUCGCAUCGAUGAAGAACGUAGCGAAUUGCGAUAAGUAAUGUGAAUUGCAGAUACUCGUGAAUCAUUGAAUUUUUGAACGCACAUUGCGCCCUUGAGCAUUCUCAGGGGCAUGCCUGUUUGAGCGUCAUUU
rnacentral:rRNA from 1 species